UGGGGAAUAUUGGGCAAUGGGCGAAAGCCUGACCCAGCGACGCCGCGUGGGCGAUGAAGGCCUUCGGGUUGUAAAGCCCUGUCAUGCGGAAAGAACGACCCUGUGACGCAUACUCACAGGGAGUGACGGUACCGCAGGAGGAAGCACCGGCUAACUCCGUGCCAGCAGCCGCGGUAAUACGGAGGGUGCAAGCGUUGUUCGGAAUUAUGGGGCGUAAAGGGCGCGUAGGCGGUAAUGUAAGUCAGAUGUGAAAUACUCCGGCUCAACCAGAGAACAGCAUCUGAAACUGCAUAACUAGAGUACAGAAGAGGGAAACGGAAUUCCCGGUGUAGAGGUGAAAUUCGUAGAUAUCGGGAGGAACACCAGUGGCGAAGGCGGUUUCCUGGUCUGAUACUGACGCUGAGGCGCGAAAGCGUGGGGAGCAAACAGG
rnacentral:rRNA from 2 species